GAUGACAGUGUGCACCACCACACCCAGCUAAUUUUUUUUUUUUGGUCUUGCUGUGUUGCCCAGGCUGGUCUCAAACUCCUGGACUCAAGUGAUCUUCCCUUCUCAGCCUCUCAAAGUGCUGGAAUUACAGACAUGAGCCACCGUGCCCAGCCAGAGAAAUAACCAUGGAUAUGGGUAGAGACAGAGCCAUAUGGAAUGCACACCGCAGUGGUGAACACAUGGCCCAGCUCUGCCAUCAAGGAGAAGGAACGUGAAUGGAGCUGGAGGCCAUCAUCCUUAGUAAACUAACACAGGAGCAGAAAACCAAAUACCGCAUGUUCUCAUGUGUAAGUGGGAGCUAAAUGAUGAGAACACAUGGACACAAAGAGGGGAACAACAGACACUGAAGCCUCCUUGAGGGAGGAGGGUAAGAGGAAGGAGAAGAUCAGAAAAGAUAACUACCAGGUACUAUGGUAGCUUAGUACCUGGGUGAUGAAAUAAUCUGUACACCCAACCCUCAUGACAGAAGUUUACCUGUGUAACAAACCUGCACAUGUAUCCCUGAAACUAAAAGUUUUUUAAAAAGUUAUUUAAUAUAUAUAUAUAUAUUUUUGAGACGGAGUUUUGCUCUUGUUGCCCAGGCUGGAGUGCGGUGGCGCAAUUUCGGCUCACCACAACCUCCGCCUCCCAGGUUCAAGCUAUUCCCCUGCCUCAGCCUCCCUAGUAGCUGGGAUUACACGCUUGUGCCACCACGCCCAGCUAAUUUUGUAUUUUUUGUAGAGACGGGGUUUCUCCAUGUUGGUCAGGCUGGUCUCGAACUCCCGACCUCAGGUGAUCUGCCCGCCUCGGCCUCCCAAAGUGCUAGGAUUACAGGCAUGAGCCACUGUGCCCGGCAAAAAGUUAUUUAAUAUUAAUGGGACAAUACUCAUUGCAAGAAUCAGACUUCAAUUGCUAGCAUAAGUAAAUGACAGGCAGGAGAUAUUGAAAAUGCAAUCUUAUAGACAUUCAAGGAGAGGACGCAGGACAUUUCUGUGUCAUAAAUGUACUAUGGAAAAUAAAAAUGAGAAAAAUGGAAAUAAAAUACAAGAAAAGGUUAUGAUGAUAAAUUUCAUAUUAUUUUACCACAAUAAAAAAAUUUUAAUAAAUU
rnacentral:antisense_RNA from 1 species